rnacentral:lncRNA from 1 species
UUGUGGUUGCCUCUUCUUCAGCUACUGCCACUUUAUCACCACUUCCUCCCUCCAUUACAAUGUUAUUAUUAGCCACUACCUCUAAAUGAUUGUAAACAGGUUCCUGAGCCCUUAAUGCAACAGGUACGGGAAGGACCUCACAAGGUUCAGGAUCCAAAUCAAUCAAUCUUGCUCCGCGGCCUCUACCAGCUGCAGGUCGCCUUGUGGGUACAGCUGGUGAAGA